UUUGAGUUAAAAUAGUGUGAGUGUUUAGUCUGGCGCAGGGCUUCAGGGGAGAUUGGCAGCUGGGUCAAACAAAGUCCUUCCAUUGGCUCCCUUCCCAGGCAGCUUCUGCUAGUAUUUAGUAGGUACUAGUGCAGUGUAGGGCCCUUUUCUCAGGCAAAACCUAACAUCUGACCGCACCCUCUUUGCUAUUUCAAGAAAAAGAGAAAAAAAGCUUCUUUUUUCCUUCUUUCGUUAUAAGAUAAAUUCUCUAGUAGACAACCUCUCCCACUAAUUGUGUAUUAGCAGUGUAUUUUAUCUUGAGAGCUGACGCACUGGGCUUUCGACGUGGUGUGGAAAGCAGCCUGUUACAGUGCUGAAUUCAUAAAAAGGCCUUCAUGGUUUGUGAAAGAAUAUCUGUGUGCUUAGGCAGGAAACUUUUUGAUCUGCAGAAAAGCCAGAAGACAUCUAGAUACAUUAUUAUAACUGAAGAAGUGCAAGAGUUGGGAAGACACAGUCAGUUUUCCCUAUGAAAACCUACACCGUGCCAUGCCUUGCCCUAUUUUGGACUCUCACAGAAGCAAAUCCUCAGGAUUAUGCUCAACUGCUCAGAACAGGUGUUUCCUACAAGGCCACAAGGGUAUCUUCAACGAUUAUACAGAGGAAAUUUUAUUCACCUAUAAAGUCUUUGUACAGAUGGAAGAGUGAAUACAGAGAAAAUAAAUAAAACGCGGAUGGUGAGUGAAUGACUCAACCCUAGAUUAUGAAGAUCAAAAGGAAGAAAUGAAUGAAGUGCAUCGUAAAUAAGAAAGAUUGGUAAUGAAAACAAAGAGAACUGCUCAUAUCCACAGAAGAUCUUAUAAAUGCCACUAGACAUUUGACAUAUGUUUAAAGGUGUGAAGGACAUAGAGAGGAAGAUGACAUUUGUGUGUUUUUUUAAAAUUCUUGGCUAAUUUUUCAUCUGGAUUCAUAUACCACAAUGAUAUUCAGAUUUCUUAAUAAAGAAGACAGAAUUUUUUUACCUCUAUAAUUUACCCAAAUUAUUACACACCUUACCUGAAUUUAUUCAAAUAUAUUUUGAUACAAUUUGUCGACCUAUACUGUAAUUUUUCAGGAAGUAGAAUCGGCCUGAUGAUUAUGCAUCUGUGGUUAAUUAGUGGAGUUGGUUGAAUCAUGAAGAUAAUGAGGCCAAGGCCUGGGUUUGAUCCCUGUGUGGGCCAAUGAGUUUUGCUCUUUUCCUGUAUCAUAGACUACAGUUCAAACCCAGUCCAGCUACCUCAUAGCUUCAUGGCACUGAAAAUAAAGAAACAUGGGCCAAGAGAAAGGGAAUUCACCAGCAAGCCUAGAACAGAUCUUCCAGUCUACACAGUAUCUGCUUGUUAGUUAUGUGUCACUAGUAUUCGUGUAUGAAGAGAAGCAUCAGUUAUGCACACAGUAUGUUACAAAGGACACACAGAAAACCUUCUGUGGCCUCAAAAUGACACAUUGAGGACUAAAUAAUGCCAAAAGAAUCACCUGAAGGGAGCAUGGAAUAGAGCUAAUUCAUAAUCGCAAAUUGAAUCUUACUUCAAAUUGCAGAGGAAGCAAAAUCCCUGCUGUUCCCACAAGUUGAUUUUUCUUCAAUAGAUUGUAAAGGUUUUUAAGAGGUCUGAUAAGAAACACCCUGAAGCUUCCUGUGAGUUCUAAGUCAACUGUGAAAUAAGACAAAGAAAGGAAAGGAGAAGGCAGAAGAAAGGUCAAAAUAACUCAUUUUUCUCUGAAAAAAACUAGGUUGGAAGAUGUUGUUUAGACCAACAGGUAAAUGGACUACUUCAACGCAAACCUUGGAAUUACAGAAAUUUGUCCAUCUAUUCACUUUAGGAAAACAUACGUAUCUGCAAUGGGAUCUGCCACAUUUUGUUGUCUGACAAUUCUUUUUUGUGAGAAAAUCUUCCUCAAAGAAUAAAAGGGGAUCAAUUUUUUAAAAAACUUAUCAAUCAGAGAAGACCACUGAUAAGGCAAGAAGAAAAGCCCUAAAUUGUUCCAAGUGGAAAAGAACAUCAGGAGUGAAAAGUAAUUGUAGCCAGUCAGUUUUACCCACACAAUUCUUAAAAAUUGUAAGAUGAAAAGCAAAAAAAAAAAAAG